UGCAGUGGCAAAGCUAGGCUAGGUCUUGGAGGCUGGUGUAAGGCGAAGCAGUGAAGGCAGGAGGCUGAUGGAGAGACUGGGGGGAAGAAAAGCCGAAAUGGAUUCACGGUGCCUUGGAUGGAGGACGAGAGGGGAAUUGCAAGCUCCUUCAACUCGUUCUGUCCGGUGAGAAGUGAUCAAGCCUGGGCUGACAAGAGGCUCAGGGAGCCCUCACGUUCUUUCGCUUUUUUACCUGCCAAUCAAACUGCUACAAGACAACACCCUGAUCUGGCAUGGACAUCGCGGGUCCAAGCCUGUAGCCCCAAAUCGGAUAAUCUCUGCAGCUGAUAACAAGCAAAAGAGAAGCCAGGCAACAGCCAUAUUAAAGAAGGAAGCAAUCAACUCUGAGAUCCAACUUAGAAAUAAUGUUUCACUCAAGAUAAGGCUUGUGGUUUAGGAGAUUCUGGUCUGGCUUGCCUCACUUUAAGACUUCUAUCAUCUUUUUUCAAAACCUGAAGAGGACCUCAUUUCCUGUUUGAUAGUUCUUCAUGCUUUGCCAGCCUCCGGGUCUUUAAGGAAGCUUGCCAAGAGUUCCCGGCUGGGAAGGACAGUCUGAGUUCAUCAUAGAGAAUGAGCAGUUGUAGUGACUCACCAACCUCAUUGCCCACUUUGCGAUGGCAAGAACCACACUAUCUAAUUGGAAGACCUGUGUUUUAGCAAAGUGCAAUUGGAUCACAUGGCAAAAUCAUCUCAAAAUACAUCUCCAGUCUUUUCUUUCACUGGAUGUUUUGAACACAAGACAAGAAAGGAAAUUAUGCUCUAAAUUACAUUUUUUCCCUUGAAAUUAAGA